rnacentral:rRNA from 1 species
UACAGAGGGUGCGAGCGUUAAUCGGAAUUACUGGGCGUAAAGCGUGCGCAGGCGGUUUGUUAAGUCAGAUGUGAAAUCCCCGGGCUUAACCUGGGAACUGCAUUUGUGACUGGCAAGCUAGAGUAUGGCAGAGGGGGGUAGAAUUCCACGUGUAGCAGUGAAAUGCGUAGAGAUGUGGAGGAAUACCGAUGGCGAAGGCAGCCCCCUGGGAUAACACUGACGCUCAUGCACGAAAGCGUGGGGAGCAAACAGG